UGGGAGUGAGAGGACGUGCUGCUGGAGGACUGAGGAAUACAAGCAUCAACAGACAUCAAGUUGAAGGUCCUGUGAGUCAAGCCCUUCAAGCUCCACUACAGAAGAAAUGAAGUCCACAGAAUAAUUAGGAAACAUUUUUGGAGAGGUGAAAGCUCCCGGAGAGAGAAGUUCUCGGAGACCUCACCAGAGCAAGGAGCCUAGAAGGUGUGCUCCUAGAGAAAGGAAUUCCCCUAAGGGAUAAGAGCUCCCAGAGAAUAUGAUAGCAACAGCAGCUGGUGGAGUGUAGUGCUGGAAAGGAGGAGCUGCCUGUGGAGGCAGAACAGCAUGCGAUGCCUCCCCUUCCCCCCACCACCAGACCAGGCAGUAGAGGAGGAGCUGCUGCUGGGAGUCUGUGCUGCUGAGUGAAUAAGCAGAAGCUUCCGCUAUAGAGCAAUAUUGCUCUGUAAUCUCAGAGAGUCUGGAGAUUUGGAACAAGUGGCGGAUGUUGUGAACCCUGGAGCCUGAAUCUAAUGGAGGGGGUGAAGAUUGUGGAGGGGAGUUAGU